CUUGUGCUCUUUAACUGAGAGUACAGAGAGCUUGCCCUUCUCUCCGUGUGGGGGGAGCACUCACAAGCACACCUGAAAUGGGAGCAGUAGGAGCCACUGCUGAAGAACUGGUGGAGGAGCACCCACGGAAGAGUUCCGGCUGAGGAACUGGUGGAGCAGCACCCAUGCCUGAUGAGAGACAGGGAGGGCUUCCAGGCAGGAGUGACAAGCCACCUCCUCCAAUCUCUCCAGGGGGCGAGGGGAAGGAAGGAGGCAAAGGUCAGUGAUUGUCACACUCAUCACAGCAGCUGUAAAUAAAGUCAACCUGAUUUCUUCACACAAAGCCCAGACUCAUUUGACCUUGCUGAUACCCCGGGAGUGCGGAACUGUGCUUGCUGGAACUGGUCCAAAGAACUGGUCUAUGAUUCAUUCCUUCCCUCGGCUUCCCCACAGCAGAGGCGGUGGUCCCCAAAUGUCAUGGACUGAAGCAGUUCAUCAGACUGAAUGCAGAGGGUGAAGGGCAGGGAGCAGCCAAGCUGAACAUCUCCGGCUCUGGCUCUUCAUUUUGUCAGCAGCAAUACUCGUGUGACGUCCCAGGGUGACGGAGUUACAGCAGGAGUGAAGCUGCCCUGAAACCAUCACUUCAUUGUUAAGUGAUGCUCCUCUGGAGGAGACAUUUAACUGAGAUCCCUGGUACCCAGCUCCGGUGGACCUCAUUGACAUUCUGUCUCUGAAUGAGACAAUUUCUGUGAGACAGUUUCUCUUGUCUCAGGCUGUGCAAGUCAGGACUGAAUGGACUGUUUGUUGUUUGUUAGUAGUGUGUCUAGCACUAUGGUGCCCCAACCUGGUUCAGGCCUCUCUGUACUAGUACAAAUGGUAAUGAGACUUCAUUGCUACAUUUGUGUACGGUACAGUUACUGGAUACAACUGUACUGUUGUUAACUGCCUCAAGCACUGAGGGUGACCUGUUGUGGUAUUUCUAAUGAUUACCUGGCUGUUGUUGGGGGUGGCUUUAAAAUGUGAAGGGUCCAAAGAUGUUAGAAGUUGAGAUUUAGGGGUACUCCUGCGCUGGAGAAAGGGAUCAGGCUAACCGGCGAGCUGACUCUACAUAUGAUUGUAGUAAAAGCUGGCCUUGGCUGGAGUGUCCCUCAGAAACAUCAGCCCUGAUUCUGUCCAGAGUUACAUGUCAUGCCAGGCUGGAUGGAAUGUCCAGUGUGUGUGUGUGUUUGUGAUGAGAAGUUAGCUCACUCCUGCCACAUCCUCCCAGUCACUAGGACCCCUGCAAAGCUGGGCCAGCAUUUCUGAAUGGUUAUUUUUACUUAUCAUGAUAAAGACGGUCAUGUGGGGUUGCCCAUUUUGGUUGUGGACAUAUUUCUUGAGGUUUCACCACAUGACAUCUUUAAUUAAAGAUUGAUCUUUAAUUCCUGGAGACGCCCAGACAAUCCUGGAGAGUUGGCAACCCUACUGUCACUUCCUCAUGAAAAACGUAUUGAGGCCAUGCACUAAUGCAGGGAUCGGCAACCUUUGGCACGCGGCUCAACAAAAAAAACCUUCAAAACCAAACUCCAAUGAGA